rnacentral:rRNA from 1 species
AGUGACGCGUGGGUAACCUGCCUCAUACAGGGGGAUAACAGUUAGAAAUGACUGCUAAUACCGCAUAAGCGCACAGUGCUGCAUGGCACAGUGUGAAAAACUCCGGUGGUAUGAGAUGGACCCGCGUCUGAUUAGCUAGUUGGUGGGGUAACGGCCUACCAAGGCGACGAUCAGUAGCCGGCCUGAGAGGGUGAACGGCCACAUUGGGACUGAGACACGGCCCAAACUCCUACGGGAGGCAGCAUG